rnacentral:rRNA from 1 species
CCUACGGGAGGCAGCAGUGGGGAAUAUUGCACAAUGGGGGAAACCCUGAUGCAGCGACGCCGCGUGAGCGAAGAAGUAUCUCGGUAUGUAAAGCUCUAUCAGCAGGGAAGAAAAUGACGGUACCUGACUAAGAAGCCCCGGCUAACUACGUGCCAGCAGCCGCGGUAAUACGUAGGGGGCAAGCGUUAUCCGGAUUUACUGGGUGUAAAGGGAGCGUAGACGGCGGUGCAAGUCAGGAGUGAAAGCCCGGGGCUCAACCCCGGAACUGCAUUGGAAACUGUACGGCUGGAGUGUAGGAGGGGCAGGCGGAAUUCCUAGUGUAGCGGUGAAAUGCGUAGAUAUUAGGAGGAACACCAGUGGCGAAGGCGGCCUGCUGGACGAUGACUGACGUUGAGGCUCGAAAGCGUGGGGAGCAAACAGGAUUAGAUACCCCGGUAGUC